UAGCAUAUCAAUAAGCGGAGGAAAAGAAACUAACAAGGAUUCCCCUAGUAACUGCGAGUGAAGCGGGAAAAGCUCAAAUUUAAAAUCUGACAGUUUCACUGUCCGAGUUGUGAUCUGGAGAAGCAUUUUCCGCGUCGGACCGUGUACAAGUUUCUUGGAAUAGAACGUCAUAGAGGGUGAGAAUCCCGUCCAUGACACGGACUACCGAUGCUUUGUGAUAUGCUCUCGAAGAGUCGAGUUGUUUGGGAAUGCAGCUCAAAAUGGGUGGUAAAUUCCAUCUAAAGCUAAAUAUUGGCGAGAGACCGAUAGCGAACAAGUACCGUGAGGGAAAGAUGAAAAGCACUUUGGAAAGAGAGUUAAACAGUACGUGAAAUUGUUGAAAGGGAAACGCUUGAAGUCAGUCGCGUUGGCAGAGACUCAGCCUUGCUUUGCAUGGUGUACUUCUCAGUUAACGGGUCAACAUCAAUUUCAGUUGGUGGAUAAAGGCAUUGGGAAUGUGGCACCUUCGGGUGUGUUAUAGACCUUUGUUGCAUACACUGACCGGGAUUGAGGAACGCAGCACGCCACUACGGCCAGGGAUUCGUCCCAUGUAACGUGCUUAGGAUGUUGGCAUAAUGGCUUUAAGCGACCCGUCUUGAAACACGGACCAAGGAGUCUAACAUGCCUGCGAGUAUUAGGGUGGAAAACCCUUGUGCGUAAUUAACGUGAAAGUUGGGACCUCUUGCGAGGGCACCGACGCCCGGCCCUGAAGUUUACUGACGGCGCUGCGGUAGAGCAUGUAUGUUGGGACCCGAAAGAUGGUGAACUAUGCCUGAAUAGGGUGAAGCCAGGGGAAACUCUGGUGGAGGCUCGUAGCGAUUCUGACGUGCAAAUCGAUCGUCAAAUUUGGGUAUAGGGGCGAAAGACUAAUCGAACCAUCUAGUAGCUGGUUCCUGCCAA
rnacentral:rRNA from 1 species